AUGGAGCCGGAGGGGGUGCGGCACCGGAUGGUGGAGGUGGCCAAGGGGGUGCGGCUGCACGUGGCGGAGGCGGGGCCCGAGGACGGCCCCGCGGUGCUGCUCGUGCACGGCUUCCCGGACCUCUGGUACGGCUGGCGCCACCAGAUGGCCGCCCUGGCGGCCCGGGGCUUCCGCGCCGUCGCGCCUGACAUGCGCGGCUACGGCGACUCCGACGCCCCGCCCUCCGCGGGCUCCUACUCCAUCUUCCACCUCGUCGGCGACCUCGUGGCCCUCAUCGCCGACCUCGCUCAGCCCCAGGUGUUCGUGGUUGGACACGACUGGGGCGCACUCGUGGCAUGGCAGCUCUGCCUGCUCCGGCCGGACCUUGUGCGGGCGCUCGUUAACCUCAGCGUGGCCUACCACCCGCGCAGCUCCGAGGGGAGCCCGCUCCAGGUCAUCAGGGCCUUGUGCGGGGAAGACCACUACAUGUGCCGUUUCCAGGAGCCUGGAGUCGCUGAAGCCGAAUUUGCUCUAUACGACAAUAGUCAUAAGUUUAAGACGGUCUUUGGAAUGCGCAAACCAGCUCCUCCUAUUCUACCCAAGGACAAGACCUUCUUUGACUCACUAGAUUCGGAUGGUACUUGCCCUCCAUGGUUGUCUGAAGAAGAUAUUUCCUACUAUGCAGACAAAUUUGAGAAGACAGGGUUUACAGGAGGGCUUAACUACUACAGAUGCAUGGACUUGAAUUGGGAGCUUUCUGCACCAUGGACUGGAGCUCCAAUAAAAGUAGCAACAAAAUUCAUCGUUGGGGACCUUGACGUUACAUACAAUGUACCGGGGGUGAAAGACUACAUUCACAAGGGUGGCUUGAAAGCGAGCGUGCCGAAUCUGGAGGAUGUGGUUGUCAUGGAGGGAGUGAGUCACUUCUGCAACCAGGAGAAGCCUAAUGAGGUUUCAGAUUACAUCUGCGAGUUCUUCAGCAAGUUCUGA
rnacentral:rRNA from 1 species